CCGCACAAGCGGCGGAGCAUGCGGAUUAAUUCGAUGCAACGCGAAGAACCUUACCAAGGCUUGACAUACACCGGUAACGCCCAGAGAUGGGUGCCCCUUUGUGGUCGGUGUACAGGUGGUGCAUGGUUGUCGUCAGCUCGUGUCGUGAGAUGUUGGGUUAAGUCCCGCAACGAGCGCAACCCUCGUCCUAUGUUGCCAGCGGGUCAUGCCGGGGACUCAUGGGAGACUGCCGGGGUCAACUCGGAGGAAGGUGGGGAUGACGUCAAAUCAUCAUGCCCCUUAUGUCUUGGGCUUCACGCAUGCUACAAUGGCCGGUACAAAGGGCUGCGAUACCGCGAGGUGGAGCGAAUCCCAGAAAGCCGGUCUCAGUUCGGAUUGGGGUCUGCAACUCGACCCCAUGAAGUCGGAGUCGCUAGUAAUCGCAGAUCAGCAACGCUGCGGUGAAUACGUUCCCGGGCCUU
rnacentral:rRNA from 1 species